AACGUAGGAGGCGAGCGUCAUCCGGAUUUACUGGGCGUAAAGCGCGUGCAGGCGGUUUGGUAAGACGUGCGUGAAAGCUCCCAGGCUCAACCGGGAGAGGUCGUGCGAGACUGCCAGACUAGAGGUAGAGAGAGGCCAGUAGAAUUCCGGGUGUAGUGGUGAAAUGCGUAGAGAUCCGGAGGAAUACCAGAAGCGAAGGCGGCUGGCUGGCUCUAACCUGACGCUCAGACGCGAAAGCAUGGGGAGCGAACGGG
rnacentral:rRNA from 1 species